GCCGGGGUGGCGGAAUUGGUAGACGCGAAGGACUUAAAAUCCUUUGGACCGAAAAGUCCGUGCGGGUUCGAGUCCCGCCCUCGGUACCC
rnacentral:tRNA from 1 species